rnacentral:rRNA from 1 species
UACGUAGGGGGCAAGCGUUGUCCGGAUUUAUUGGGCGUAAAGAGCGUGUAGGCGGCUUUGCAAGUCCGUUGUGAAAACUCGAGGCUCAACCUCGAGACGCCGGUGGAAACUGCAAAGCUAGAGUCCGGAAGAGGAGAGUGGAAUUCCCGGUGUAGCGGUGAAAUGCGCAGAUAUCGGGAGGAACACCUAUGGCGAAGGCAGCUCGCUGGGACGUUACUGACGCUGAGACGCGAAAGCGUGGGGAGCAAACAGG